rnacentral:rRNA from 1 species
CCUACGGGUGGCUGCAGUGAGGAAUAUUGGUCAAUGGGCGCGAGCCUGAACCAGCCAAGUCGCGUGAAGGAUGACUGUCCUAAGUGUUGUAAACUUCUUUUAUAAGGGAAUAAAGUGUGGCACGUGUCCCUUUUUGUAUGUACCUUAUGAAUAAGCAUCGGCUAACUCCGUGCCAGCAGCCGCGGUAAUACGGAGGAUCCGAGCGUUAUCCGGAUUUAUUGGGUUUAAAGGGAGCGUAGAUGGGUUGUUAAGUCAGUUGUGAAAGUUUGGGGCUCAACCGUAAAAUUGCAGUUGAUACUGGCAGUCUUGAGUACAGUUGAGGUAGGCGGAAUUCGUGGUGUAGCGGUGAAAUGCAUAGAUAUCACGAAGAACUCCGAUUGCGAAGGCAGCAUGCUGGACUGCCACUGACGUUGAUGCUCGAAAGUGUGGGUAUCAAACAGGAUUAGAUACCCGGGUAGUC